UUUGAGUCACAAGCUUGAAUUGUAUCACAUUAUUUUGGACUUGAAUCACAAGUGAGUUUUCAUUACAAGCACACUACAUAAGUAAAUACAUAAGCAUUGCAUUACAUGAAUAAUUUUACAAUCCUGUUACAUACAUAGCAUUUACGUGGAAAUAAAAGGAAGGAAAGGAGGGAGGGUUAUGUGCUUGUCUUGAGUUUGCAUUGACAACAAUCAUCAUCCUCAUGACGCUCCUUCAAGAGUCAUCAAGCAUCUACAUGGCCUUUGAAUUCCACAACCAUGAUGUAUUUAGGCCAUGCCAACUCAUACCACAUGCUCCAGGUUUCCAAACCUGUCACAAAGCCAACAUAAGCGGGGAUUCAAGCAACAUUCAAGCCAAUUUCAUAAACCUAACAGUUAGCAUUUAUCACAAAGUAACUAAAAAGUUCACACAAUAGCAGAACUUAACAAGGAAAUUUCCACAACAAAAUAAACCACAAGGCAAGACCACAUAGACACGCCAAUAUCAGUCCAUAAACCUACAACUUACUUCACCAUGACGGUCUAAUAUGCAAGCUAUAGCAAAAUCGAAUGAGCCAUCAACAACUUGCAGCAACCUACAACAAGGCAUCCAACAAAUUUGCAUGUUCAGACAAUUAAUGAAAC
rnacentral:lncRNA from 1 species